UGUCAGCUGCAGACUGGCACGGUUUAAUCCUGCACAACACCUUUAUCAGCUCCUUAAUUCAUUUCGGCAACAGGUUUACAGGCUGUUUGACAACAGACACUGGAGGCUGGGGUAACGUGGCAGCUCUUUGGGACGUGUAACCUCACAUGAGCCUGACAGCAGGCUCGGGGACACAGAUUCGAUUCUGCAGCCGUGUUUUAGCACAACAGCAGCUCAAGUGAGCUUUAAAUGUCAGUCGGGCUCUCUGAGCUUCAGCUGACCCCGGCUUAAAGGUCGACUCCACUGGAUUAAGUAUCUUUGAACUUUACCCUCCAACUUGAAGAUUUCAAGAUAUUAUUAAGGGACACAAACUGAAUAACUGUGAGAUGAUGACACACGUCUGAAAUGAUCAAACACUCACUCGGUCUUAUUAUUUAUUGAGAGACUUCAUUGUUCCAAACAGCAGUUAUUUCACAUAAUAAAAGAAUCAAGUUUGGUUGCAUAGAGGCUGUUUUUGGUCUUUUGCACAUCUGGAAUGUCUCUUUGGUUUAAGGCACAACUGGAGGUAAACUGAGGAGCAAA